rfam:Schistosoma haematobium scaffold663_9, whole genome shotgun sequence.
ACUCAGUUGUCGAGUCGCAAAUAAGACGAAAUGCCCGUCCUGGAU